rnacentral:rRNA from 1 species
GACGAACGCUGGCGGCGUGCUUAACACAUGCAAGUCGAACGGGAAGUCCCUUCUUUUGUGGCGGGCUCGAGUGUCGAACGUGUGAGUAACACGUGAGUAGCGUGCCCUUGACUGUGGGAUAACGUCAGUAAACUGGGGGUAAUGCCGCAUAGGAGCUCCUGCUGCAGGGUGGGGGUUGGAAAGUUUCGGCGUUUGUGGUGGGACUCGUGGCUUAUCAGCUGGUUGGUGGGGUAGUGGCUGACCAAGGCUUUGACGGGUAGCAGGCCUGAGAGGGCGACCGGCACCAUUGCUGCGGAGGAAAGGCCGAGCCUACUCCUGGAGGCAGCAGUGGGGAAUAAUGUACAGUGGGCGGAGGCAUGAUGAAGGAGCGCCGCGUGCUGGAGGUAGGCCUCCGGGUUGUAGACAGCUUCCGCUUGUGACGAAGCGGGAGUGACGGUAAUGGGUAAAGAAGCACCGGCUAACUACGUG